rnacentral:rRNA from 3 species
UUGACCUCAAAUCGGGUGAGACUACCCGCUGAACUUAAGCAUAUCAU